UCCAACACUGACAGUCACGAACAGGAAGCAGCUUGCUGCUAUCGCUGACGAGUGGCGGACGGGUAGAGUAAUGUCUAGGGAAACUGCCUGAUGGAGUGGGGAUAACUACUGGAAACGGUAGCUAAUACCGCAUAACGUCGCAAGACCAAAGAGUGGGGACCUAUCGUGUGCCUCUAUGCCAUACGGAUAGUAGCCCAGAUGUGGAUAUAG
rnacentral:rRNA from 1 species